AGUGAACGCUGGCGGUAGGCCUAACACAUGCAAGUCGAACGGCAGCACAGUAAGAGCUUGCUCUUACGGGUGGCGAGUGGCGGACGGGUGAGGAAUACAUCGGAAUCUACUUUUUCGUGGGGGAUAACGUAGGGAAACUUACGCUAAUACCGCAUACGACCUACGGGUGAAAGCAGGGGAUCUUCGGACCUUGCGCGAUUGAAUGAGCCGAUGUCGGAUUAGCUGGUUGGCGGGGUAAAGGCCCACCAAGGCGACGAUCCGUAGCUGGUCUGAGAGGAUGAUCCGCCACACUGGAACUGAGACACGGUCCCGACUCCUACGGGAGGCAGCAGUGGGGAAUAUUCGGCAAUGGGCGCAAGCCUGAUCCAGCCAUGCCGCGUGGGUGAAGAAGGCCUUCGGGUUGUAAAGCCCUUUUGUUGGGAAAGAAAAGCAGCAGGUUAAUACCCCGCUGUUCUGACGGUACCCAAAGAAUAAGCACCGGCUAACUUCGUG
rnacentral:rRNA from 1 species